GCGAACGCUGGCGGCAGGCCUAACACAUGCAAGUCGAACGGAUCCUUCGGGAUUAGUGGCGGACGGGUGAGUAACACGUGGGAACGUGCCCUUUGGUUCGGAACAACUCAGGGAAACUUGAGCUAAUACCGGAUGUGCCCUUCGGGGGAAAGAUUUAUCGCCAUUGGAGCGGCCCGCGUCUGAUUAGCUAGUUGGUGAGGUAACGGCCCACCAAGGCGACGAUCAGUAGCUGGUCUGAGAGGAUGAUCAGCCACACUGGGACUGAGACACGGCCCAGACUCCUACGGGAAGCAGCAGUGGGGAAUCUUGCGCAAUGGGCGAAAGCCUGACGCAGCCAUGCCGCGUGAAUGAUGAAGGUCUUAGGAUUGUAAAAUUCUUUCAGCGGGGACGAUAAUGACGGUACCCGCAGAAGAAGCUCCGGCUAACUUCGUG
rnacentral:rRNA from 1 species